GGAAGUAAAAGUCGUAACAAGGUCUCCGUAGGUGAACCUGCGGAGGGAUCAUUACACAAAUAUGAAGGCGGGCUGGAACCUCUCGGGGUUACAGCCUUGCUGAAUUAUUCACCCUUGUCUUUUGCGUACUUCUUGUUUCCUUGGUGGGUUCGCCCACCACUAGGACAAACAUAAACCUUUUGUAAUUGCAAUCAGCGUCAGUAACAAAUUAAUAAUUACAACUUUCAACAACGGAUCUCUUGGUUCUGGCAUCGAUGAAGAACGCAGCGAAAUGCGAUAAGUAGUGUGAAUUGCAGAAUUCAGUGAAUCAUCGAAUCUUUGAACGCACAUUGCGCCCUUUGGUAUUCCAAAGGGCAUGCCUGUUCGAGCGUCAUUUGUACCCUCAAGCUUUGCUUGGUGUUGGGCGUCUUGUCUCUAGCUUUGCUGGAGACUCGCCUUAAAGUAAUUGGCAGCCGGCCUACUGGUUUCGGAGCGCAGCACAAGUCGCACUCUCUAUCAGCAAAGGUCUAGCAUCCAUUAAGCCUUUUUUUCAACUUUUGACCUCGGAUCAGGUAGGGAUACCCGCUGAACUUAAGCAUAUCAUAGCGGAGGA
rnacentral:rRNA from 1 species